CAGCCGCCGCGGUAAUACCGGCGGCCCGAGUGGCGGUCACUAUUAUUGGGCUUAAAGCGUCCGUAGCCGGGGUGGGAAGUCCUCCGGGAAAUCUGGCCGCUUAAAGGUCAGAAUGCCGGAGGAUACUCCCAGCCUAGGGAGCGGGAGAGGCCGAGGGGAUUCCCGGAGUAGGGGGGAAAUCCUAUAAUCCCGGGAGGGCCACCUGUGGCGAAGGCGCUCGGCUGGAACGCGUCCGACGGUGAGGGACGAAGGCCAGGGGAGCAAACCGGAUUAGAUACCCGGGUAGUCCUGGCUGUAAACGAUGCGGACUUUGUGUCGGACAAGCUAUGAGCUUGUCCGGUGCCGGAGGGAAACCGUUAAGUCCGCCGCCUGGGGAGUACGGCCGCAAGGCUGAAACUUAAAGGAAUUGGCGGG
rnacentral:rRNA from 1 species